AGGGUAUAUCGACGCCCUAUCCCAAGUGGUAUUGGGCGGUGCUCAUCGACAAGUAGAUAUCAUCGCAACAUCGUGCGGAUCGACAACUAUCACAGGUACAUCGACCUCUUCGCACGCUCGUGCGGAUAAACAACUAACAUAGGUGCAUCAACCUCUUCGUACGCUCGUGCGGAUAAACAAAUACGUGUAGUGGAGUGAAUUUCAUCAUGGUCUCAUCUACGGUUCACGAACUAAUUCAAAAACUCAAGAGUGUAAUCGUAACCAUAUUUUAUCAUAAUCCCCUAGGGAUACUCACAUAUAUAUUACUACAUAUUUAUGACAGUAAGUGUAGCAAUCGAGCGGCUCAAACUCCGCGAACACAUCUCAAAACAGCGCAAACAAUCUCUAGAAAAGAAGAAACUGGGCCAAACUGCCCAGAAAAUGGUUGGCGCUACUGUUAGUAAAAUGAACAUAUCUUUCUCUAGGAAAACUAUUUUUAUGAAUGACUUCCUGUUUUAAAAACUAGAUUCACACAUCUUUCAAUUGGAACUAUUUUGGUUCAGUUUGAAGUUCAAUAUCAAUACCAGAUUUUAGUUGAAGUUGCAUACACGUGCAGCAGUUUUCUGCAGGGCAUGUCGUUAAUAAAAAGAGUCUAUCUUUCUCUAUACAAACUCUUUUUUAGAUUUGUUUUCUGUUUUAGAAACUAGAUUCACAUAUAUUUCAUUUGGUACUAGUGUAGUUCAAUUUGGAAUUCAUUACCAUGCCCGAUUUUCUGUUGAAGUCUACACAUGUGCAGCAGUUUUCUCUGCAGGACGUGUCAUUAAUAAAAAGACUAUAUCUUUCUCUAUGCAAACUCUUUUUAAGAUUUGUUCUCUGUUUUAGAAACUAGAUUCAUACAUUUUUCAUUUGAAACUAGUUUAGUUCAAUUUGGAGUUCAUUUUCUAUCUCAAAUAUCCAGUUAAACAUAACACAUGUGCAGCAGAUUUUCUGCUCACUACCACAUAUUUGCUCUAACGCAACAGUUCUAGUGCAACGUUUAUGACCGUUGCGUUAGGUAUCUAUGGGGGCGGUUUUACAACGCUUUGACAACGGUUUACAAAAACCGCUUCGCUAGGCCCAAUAAUUUUGAUUUGGGCCGAUUUUAUAGGCUGGUUUGGGCUUAACACUGAAACGAAAUCUCUUUUUUUUUUCUCACCGCUUUACCAAAUAUCCCUCUUUCUCUCUCACUCAACUCAUCACCCCUUUCUAAAAUCUCCCUCUUCGUUCGCUCUGAGAGAUCGCCAUGGCCGAAAUUCGUCGAUCUCAUCGCUUAACUCGUCGCUAAUCUCUUCGCCGUUUUUCGAUCUCAUCGUCUCCGAUCUCAACUCUGAUUUCGUCGUCGAUCUUGUAACUAAUCUAUUCGUCGAGCUGUUGGUCUCGUCUCCGAUCUCAUCUCCGAUAUAGGUCGUCGAGCUCGCAGCUAAUCCGUCUCCGAUCUCACUCUCCUUUGGACUCUCAGCUAAUCCGUCUCCGAUCUCAUCUCCGACCAUUUCUCGCAGGCACAAGACGAGAUUACAUAUUGGACAGCUAGUGAAAGAUACAUCAGCAAAGCUUAAACAAGGUAGUGAAAACGAUCACCGUGUUGAAGUUAGCUGAGCAAGAAAAAUAAGAAAGAGAGCUACCAAGAAGAGUUAGAAGAGCGUUUAAUCUCGUUGAUUACAUCAUUAUUUGACCAUAUAAUAAAUGGCGGAAAACAGAGAUUGGAUGUAUAAUGCUCCUAGAGUGAGUGUGGAGUUCAUUAAUAAUGUCAAUGACUUUCUUGAGAGAGCAUUUGCUAAUGGAGCAGAAGGGGAUGAAAUAUGUUGUCAUUGUCG